CUGACUUUGUCUUAGAUAUACACGUACAAGACACGAGUAUGCGAGGCAUGUGAUGCAUGUGAAGUUUGUAACGGUUCAUUCUUGUAUUCUCUCUCUCAUUUUUAUUCAGUGGACGAAAUUGAAUCAAAGAGGAAGUUGGAGGGUAGGCUGCUUGGCACAAAAAACGCUGUAACUGAAGUUUGUUUGCAACCCCUAGAAAGGAAGAAGUUGCCUCCCAAUAUUUUUUGAACUCCCCUGGUUAUCUCUCCAAUAUGAUAAAUCCAAAUCCGAAAAUUUUCUCUUGCCACUGAGCAUGUACAGAUUGACAUUCAGUGUCAAGGUGAAUUUGCAAGUAUUCCAUGAUUGUGUCUGUGUAGGCUCUUCGAAGAUCAACCCUACAGUUUGGAGUAUUAUUUUAACCAUUGGAUCUGCAAAUUCAUGGCGCCUUUGGACCUAUGAUCACGAGUAACUACUUUGGCCCUCCAAGUGGUGGGGGGUGGGAAUUGAGCGGAAUUGCCAUUUCCGUUUUGAGGUGCAUCUUUGUUGAGACGAUGCAAGUUUUGUCCCUUGUUGGAUGAUGCUGCAACACUAAUGUUUAAUGUGAAACAGAUCCUACUGCUAAUUUGUUGUCGGCUCCAAUGAGUUUUUUUCUGUUGUAGUUGUACUGUGUUACUUUUGUAUGUCAAAACCCUCCCUACGCGGGGUCGAUUGUACUAUUCCUAACAUGUAGUUUGCUCUCUUAUUAAGAAUCAAGAAAAUUCUCAG